rnacentral:ncRNA from 2 species
GGUGGGGAGUUUGGCUGGGGCGG